GUGAGUAACACGUGGAUAACCUACCUAUAAGACUGGGAUAACUUCGGGAAACCGGAGCUAAUACCGGAUAAUAUUUUGAACCGCAUGGUUCAAAAGUGAAAGACGGUCUUGCUGUCACUUAUAGAUGGAUCCGCGCUGCAUUAGCUAGUUGGUAAGGUAACGGCUUACCAAGGCAACGAUGCAUAGCCGACCUGAGAGGGUGAUCGGCCACACUGGAACUGAGACACGGUCCAGACUCCUACGGGAGGCAGCAGUAGGGAAUCUUCCGCAAUGGGCGAAAGCCUGACGGAGCAACGCCGCGUGAGUGAUGAAGGUCUUCGGAUCGUAAAACUCUGUUAUUAGGGAAGAACAUAUGUGUAAGUAACUGUGCACAUCUUGACGGUACCUAAUCAGAAAGCCACGGCUAACUACGUGCCAGCAGCCGCGGUAAUACGUAGGUGGCAAGCGUUAUCCGGAAUUAUUGGGCGUAAAGCGCGCGUAGGCGGUUUUUUAAGUCUGAUGUGAAAGCCCACGGCUCAACCGUGGAGGGUCAUUGGAAACUGGAAAACUUGAGUGCAGAAGAGGAAAGUGGAAUUCCAUGUGU
rnacentral:rRNA from 1 species